GGUAUUGCACCUACCGAAGACUAUCAAACUCCGAAUGCCGUCAUCUUAUACUUGGGAGUCAGACUGUGGGUGAUAAGAUUCAUAGUCGAAAGGGCAACAGCCCAGAUCGUCAGCUAAGGUCCCUAAAUGUAAGUUAAGUGGUAAAGGAUGUGGGAUUGCACAGACAACCAGGAUGUUGGCUUAGAAGCAGCCACUCAUUCAAAGAGUGCGUAAUAGCUCACUGGUCGAGUGAUCCUGCGCCGAAGAUUUCCGGGGCUAAAACUUACUACCGAAGCUACGGCAUCAGUAAUGAUGGGUAGGGGAGCUUCCCAUACGGGUUGAAGCAUGACCGUAAGGACAUGUGGACAGUAUGGGAGUGAGAAUGUUGGCAUGAGUAGCGAGAUGUGGGUGAGAAUCCCACAGGCCGUAAACCCAAGGUUUCCAGGGGAAGGUUCGUCCGCCCUGGGUUAGUCGGGACCUAAGCUGAGGCCGAAAGGCGUAGGUGAUGGACAACAGGUUGAUAUUCCUGUACUACCGAUAACCGUUUGAGAGAAGGGAUGACACAGUAGGAUAAGCUAAGCACACUGUUGGUUAUGUGUGCCCAAGCAUUGAGGCAGUCAAAGUAGGCAAAUCCGCUUUGAUAAUGCUGGGAUGUGAUGGGGAGCGAAAUUUAGUAGCGAAGUAGCUGAUUUCACACUGUCAAGAAAAGUCUCUAUCGAGGUUAAAGGUACCCGUACCGCAAACCGACACAGGUGGGUGAGGAGAGUAUCCUAAGGCCAGCGAGAGAACUGUUGUUAAGGAACUCGGCAAAAUGACCCCGUAACUUAGGGAUAAGGGGUGCCACCAUCAGGUGGCCGCAGAGAAUAGGCCCAAGCGACUGUUUACCAAAAACAUAGGUUUCUGCUAAGUCGCAAGACGAUGUAUAGGAGCUGACGCCUGCCCGGUGCUGGAAGGUUAAGGGGAUCUGUUAGAGCAAUCGAAGCAGUGAACUUAAGCCCCAGUAAACGGCGGCCGUAACUAUAACGGUCCUAAGGUAGCGAAAUUCCUUGUCGGGUAAGUUCCGACCCGCACGAAAGGCGUAACGAUUUGGGCACUGUCUCAACAACAGACUCGGUGAAAUUGUAAUUCCGGUGAAGAUGCCGGAUACCUGCGACAGGACGGAAAGACCCCAUGGAGCUUUACUGUAGCUUGACAUUGGGUCUUGGUACUACAUGUACAGGAUAGGUGGGAGGCUUUGAAACCAGGACGCCAGUUUUGGCGGAGCCAUCCUUGGGAUACCACCCUUGUAGUACUGGGACUCUAACCAUAGGCCAUGAAUCUGGUCUUGGGACACUGUCA
rnacentral:rRNA from 1 species